GCCUGCCUAGCUCAAUCGGAUAGAGCGUCAGACUCUUAUCCUAGGCGGGUAUCUGAAGGCUGCGAGUUCGACCCUCGCGGUGGGCU